rnacentral:rRNA from 1 species
UACAGCCACACCACCCUGAAUGCACCUGAUCUCGGAAUCUAAGCAGGGUUGGGCCUGGUUAGUACUUGGAUGAGAGACGAUUAAGGUAAUCAUCAAUCUAAUUACAGGGAAAGGGCAGUUAAAGUAC